CUGUGAUCCAGGGGAUGCUGGCUGUCAGCAGCAAGAGAUACCUCCCGUCAGCUGACUGGCAAUACAUUGCCGGGGUGAGAAGCACACUGUGCGAGGCACAGGGCCCACAGAGAGCUCAGUGGAAGCAGCAGCUGGCACUGAGCUCCUGCAGGUGCUCCCGAUGGAGCUGCCGUACCCCAGAGUGGCACUACGCUCACAUUCAAGAUCAAACUUGGUGUACGGUCCCACUGCAAAGGUAUGUCUGCGUACAUACCCAAGAGCUGUAGGAAUACCUCAUUGCUGAGUGUGCAGAGCUACUUCGGUUUGCAAAGCGAUAUCAAUUGACAGAACGAAUUAUUAAUGGAACAGACGCUUGCAGGGACAGAGAGGUUUGGGAAGCGUUUCAGGAUACUCACCCACUCAGCUGCAGCCACGUUCCUCCCUCACGCCUCGCCUCUGUGUUUCCGAGCUAAUUAGUAAUCCGCUGCAAUCGCUCUCAGUCUCUCCUGUGCUUUGAGUUUGCAAAUCAGUCUGCCUGUCUAGAGCCAUAUCAAAUGUGUUCAAGCAGUUCCGCUCUUUCAUCCCUGUCAGCCGCGCUGACUACAUGAGUAAGCUCAGGAGUAGGGCAGGACAGGCAAACGUGACCUUCUGUGAAUCAGCUGCAGACGGGCUCCAUCUAAGGGGACCAGAGACGCCCUCCGGCAAAGCUCACCGUGGUAAUUUAAGACUUUACCAUCUGCAGCACCCCUUUUUUAGAAGUUGCUAUUUCAUGGCGGAAGAGGAGAAAGAAAGAAGUACUCGUUCCCACCUUAACUCACUUGUUUCACACUCCUUCUGCAAGCCAGGGCACUGGUCACGUGGCACCGGGCUCCUUCUUCCACCUCUGCCAUAGGAUGAGCUCUGCCAUUUUCCUCCACUUCUCUGUGUUACUCAAGAAACCUUCACAUGUGGUCUCUGCUGAGAAAAAGGUCUAAGGAUUUGAAGGGCUUCAACUGAGUCACACAACUCUGAUGGUAGCGGUGCCCAAUCUUCAGCUGUUGCAUCAGCAAAAGGAUGGAAUCAGGACACAAAAGCUGUCGGUGCGUAUUGUUCACCACUCGCCAGUGAAAUGGAAAUUCAAGGACAGGGAGCAGGAUGGAGGCAGCGUUUGUCACUGAUCCGUGCUACCUUUUGCGCAGAAAGGGCUCUGAAGCAUCACGUAAUGACAAGGGCAUAGGUAAACACAUACUGGGAAUAGAAUAAAAAUAAAAAGGGGGCAAAAUCUACAUCUGCUUUUGAACUGCUUAGAAAAAGUAUAAUAUGAAUUUCCUCCAUGAUGUUGGAAAGUCCAACUUUUCUGUAGCAUGUGCCAGCCUUCAGGAGCUCUCAUCAGCUGUCUUAUGACUGUACCCUCUCAUUUAGUGGAAACAGUCUGGAGAGAACACGGAAUACUUGUGAAAAUUGAUUAUUU
rnacentral:lncRNA from 1 species